ensembl:misc_RNA Metazoa_SRP Metazoan signal recognition particle RNA
GCCGGGCGUGGUGGUGCAUGCCUGUAAUCCCAGCUACUUAGGAGGCUGAAGCAGAGGAAUCGCUUGAACCUGGAAGUUGGACGUUGUAGUGAGCCAUCGCGCCACUGCAUUCCAGCCUGGGUGACAAAGCGAGACUCUGCCUCAA